CAGAGACACUGGCCAGCGCUGUUGAGGACGGAUCUGCAGCCCCAGAGAGGCCUGGAGGCCUCGUGGCUUGCCCACGUUUGAAGGCCAAGUGCAGAGCCCUGUGACAGUCCUGGUCAACUCAGAAGAUUGAAGAAGGAGAGUGAGGGUCCCAAACACUCUGCCUCCCCAACCCAGGCCUGCGAGUGGCAGUGUGGGCAGGCGGUGGGGCCAGAGCAGCCCGCAGCCCGGAACCAGGGCAGGACAGCGCACCUGGCCUGCCUUUGAAUUGGGGUCACCAGCGGGCUUCGGCCAGGUGGGUGCUGAUGAUGGCACAGCUUCUGGGGCUCCUCUGGGCACCUGGCUUCCCAGUAUCCACCAUCCCCACCCUGCACAGCCAGGCUGAAGCAGAGGCUGGAGAGAGGUUUGCAUAAGAGAAGCUGGCAUCCUGCCUGUGCCCAUUGUGGCAGCAGGAGGGGAGGAGGCACGGGCCACAGCCCUGGCAGGGUCCUCAUCCUGGGCGAGCCUGGCUCUGCACCGA
rnacentral:lncRNA from 1 species